UGCUAGUUUGUCAGCUAAGUGGCGCACGGGUGAGUAAUAUAUAGGUAAUGUGCCCUAGAGAAGAGGAUAACAGUUGGAAACGACUGCUAAGACUCUAUAUGCCUUUAAGACAGAAGUCUGCAAGGGAAAUAUUUAUAGCUCUAGGAUCGGCCUGUACGGUAUCAGUUAGUUGGUGAGGUAAUGGCUCACCAAGACAAUGACGCCUAACUGGUUUGAGAGGAUGAUCAGUCACACUGGAACUGAGACACGGUCCAGACUCCUACGGGAGGCAGCAGUGGGGAAUAUUGCACAAUGGGGGAAACCCUGAUGCAGCAACGCCGCGUGGAGGAUGACACAUUUCGGUGCGUAAACUCCUUUUAUAUAGGAAGAUAAUGACGGUACUAUAUGAAUAAGCGCCGGCUAACUCCGUGCCAGCAGCCGCGGUAAUACGGAGGGCGCAAGCGUUACUCGGAAUCACUGGGCGUAAAGAGCGUGUAGGCGGGUGAAUAAGUUUGAAGUGAAAUCCUAUAGCUCAACUAUAGAACUGCUUUGAAAACUGUUCACCUAGAAUAUGGGAGAGGUAGAUGGAAUUUCUGGUGUAGGGGUAAAAUCCGUAGAGA
rnacentral:rRNA from 1 species